ACUACGGGUGGCAGCAGUGAGGAAUAUUGGUCAAUGGACGGAAGUCUGAACCAGCCAUGCCGCGUGCAGGAAGACGGCUCUAUGAGUUGUAAACUGCUUUUGUACAAGGGUAAACCUCAAUACGUGUCUUCAGCUGAAAGUACUGUACGAAUAAGGAUCGGCUAACUCCGUGCCAGCAGCCGCGGUAAUACGGAGGAUCCAAGCGUUAUCCGGAUUUAUUGGGUUUAAAGGGUGCGUAGGCGGCUUUAUAAGUUAGAGGUGAAAGUUUGGAGCUUAACUCGGGAACUGCCUCUAAUACUGUUGAUCUAGAGAGUAGAUGCGGUAGGCGGAAUGUAUGGUGUAGCGGUGAAAUGCGUAGAGAUCAUACAGAACACCGAUUGCGAAGGCAGCUUACCAAUCUAUAUCUGACGUUGAGGCACGAAAGCGUGGGGAGCAAACAGGAUUAGAUACCCGUGUAGUC
rnacentral:rRNA from 1 species